CUGAGAUGAAACCAAGAGUUGGGUGCUCAACCGACUGAACCACGCAGGUGCCCCUAUGUUAACUAUUUUUAAUAAAAAAUUAAUUUAUGAAUAUAUGCAACACUCAGUAGUACAAAAGGAUAUGCAGUGACUGUACGAAGUCCCUCUCCCAAGAGGUUAGAGCUAUGAAUAGUUUCUUGUGGAUCCUUCCGUUUUUGUUCUUAUAUCAACAUAUGUUGAUUAAAAGACACCACAAAAAUGGGAGCAUUUUACAUAUAUUUCCCUACCUUGGAUUUUUCCCUUAACAUGUAAUGCCUUGCAUUCUUGGUAUUCAACAAAUAUUCGUUGAGUGAUUGAAUAACUACAUAUUGUUAUUGAAAUAGAAUAUAUUCUAUUAGAAGAUACACAGUAUUUUGUUAUAUGGAUAUGCCCUUAAUUGGUUGGAUAUAUCCCCUAUUAAAAUGCUGAUAGAUUAUUUUCUAGUCUUUUUGAUUACAAUGCUUUCAUAUAUUAUAUGUUUGACUAGUAUGCAUCCCUUGCAUUUCUGAGUCCCUAAAAGUGAAUUUUGACUUUUGCAAAAAGCCAACUGGGAUUUUGAUAGGAAUUGCAUUGAAUCUAUUGAUCAAUUUGGGGAGUAUUGCCAUUUUAAUAAAAUUCAGUUUUCCAAUCCAUGAACACAGGAUGUCUUUUUAUUUAUUUAGGUCCUUUAAUCUCUUAUGUUUUUUAGUUUUUAAUUUAUAAAUCUUGUACUUUCAUUGAAUUUAUUAGUAAGCAUUUUAUUCCCAUUGAUGUGAUUGUGAAUAGAAUUGUUAAUUUCAUUUUCUUCUUAGUGCAUAUCUUUGAACAUAGCUUCUCCCUCCCACCCUAAUGAAUGAGUAUAUCUAUUGGAUUAGUUCCUAAAUGUGGAGUUGCUGGGUCAAAGGGUGUGUAUAGUUUAGAUAAUAUUUUGAUAUAUGUUACCAAAUUGGCCUCCAAAGAAGUUACCCCAACUUGUUAUCAACACAUUGUAAGAGUGACUUUAAUAAGCUAUUUUUUGUAUUAUUACCAAUCUUGUGAGAGAAAAAUGAUAUGUUCUUUGUUUAAGUAAAUUCACUCAGUUAUAAAUAUGGUUGUAUUUUUUGCAUGUGGACUAUCUUUUUAAGGCCUUUGCCCAGUUUUUCUAUUUGCAAAUAACUUGUUAAUCAUGUAUCAGUAGAUUUGGAUUUUUUGGGUUAAACUAAUUUUUAAGAUGGCAUAAUUUAGAGUCAUUGAAAGUGACUUGAUGAAACAAGUGGCAGAGAGCUGGACUUGUAACCAUAGCUCCAUAAUACUCUACUUGUCUGCCCUCAUGCACUUUUGAUGGCAUUGGAGCCUGGCCAGUCAGGUUACAGUCAAUAAAACAAGCAUUUACUGAAUGCCUAAUUGGUAUUAGAAACCCUAUUUUAGUAAUGAAUGGAGACUGUUCUGUUUUCCUGGGUGUUCACUGUCUGGUGCAAAAAAACAGAUCCUGAUGGAGGGAAGGAUUCAUUUGGCCCAUUUUUAACAGAGACUCAUCUUUAAAACUUUGGCUUGGUUUUGAAGGCUAGUUUGCUAGGCUGACAAAGUGGGAAGUUCAGGCAGAUGAGAAAUCAGGAACAAAGGCCAGGAGAAAGUUGGUGGCAAGUUUCAGGAAUGCUGAGGUGUUGGUGAACAUAGAGUAUACCUCUAAGCAGUGGAACUGGUAGGAAGUAGGGCCAGGAAGGUAGGCUGAGACCAUGUUGUCCAGCUUGAAUGCCAUGCCAAAGAAUUUAAUUUUUGUAUUUUUGACUCUAGAGGACAUUAGGUUUUUUUUUUUUUUUUUAAGAUUAUUUAUUUAUUUGAGA